CCCACAGAAGACCGGGGUCUAGAAGAGGCAGUUUCCUUGAGGAGUCUGGUCCAGUGAGGAAGACAGAGCGCAUGAGGAUGGGAAGGACCGCGGCAAAGGAAUCAUGGCAGGCGAGCCUACAGCACGGGGAGCAGUGUUCCCCGGGGCUGGGAAAGAAAGCCACCGUGCUGGAGAGGCCCAUGGGGCAAGAACUGAGGUUGGUCUUUGGCCCACAUCCAGUGAGGAGUGGAGGCCCUCAAUCCAACAGCCUGCAGAGACCUGAAUGGGGUCAACAGGCACGGAACUAAGCGUGGAACCAGAUCCUUCCCCAGGGGAGCCUUGAGGUGACGGCAGGCCUGGCUGAUACCUUGACUGCAGCCUUGGGUUCCAUGGAAGCUGAGGACCCAGCUGAGCCACAGAGAUUUUGAGAUAAGAAGUGUGUACUGUGUUAAGCUGCUAAUUUGGGGGUACUUUGUUCCACAGUAGUAGAUAACAAAUACAGGUCUUUGUUAGCCUAAAAA